GGCUUUAUAGCUCAGUGGUAAGAGCACUGGUCUCGUAAACCAGGGGUUGCGAGUUCAAACCUUGCUGUAGCCU